rnacentral:lncRNA from 1 species
AGAAUAUGAGAAAUGAGCUUCUGUGAUUCUCAGUUUUGGCUGGAAUUCUUGGCUGGCUACUGGGACAAUCUGUUAUUGCUGGCUAGUGUGCUGGGGUGAGUUAAUGCCAGCCAUUCAUAUGCUCACUAAAAUCUACAUUUUUGUGGAGUGGUGGUUUUUCUGCUUCCAGAGAUGAUCUUGCCAUUCUUUGCAGCACAAGCAAAAGGGACCCUUCUUCUGCCCUUUGCUCUUGCUGGAGGUUUGGGACCAUAGUUCCCAUUCUCUCUACUUCCUCAGGCUUAUUAGUCAGUUUGCAGCCAUCUGUCUUUGUACCAUUAACUCACUCGAUUGGACACCACGCAGUUGUUUCUGUGUCUGUUCCGGUAAAUGAUGUGUCACUGCUGGUACGCACUCUGAGGUACAUGCUGUUCUGAUGACAGCGCCUGAGAAAGGGAUGGGGGAGGUGGAAAAUGCCCCUGUGAGAAUUGGAAGCUGAGCAGUUUGGUCCUGGGGAGUGAGGGAUUGGAUAAGGGCAAUCUCUGAUUAUGCUAUAGAAAGAAUGAGGGACUGGAAAAGCAUCAUUCUGUACUGACCAGUGGAUAAGAUGGAGAUUUAGGGACACAUAGGAGAAAAUCAGAUGGAGGCUGAAGUAAUUUCCCACCUUGGAAGAUAAACAACAGCACAAAAGAGAGUGAUAAUGUUUAAACAGUUAGCAAUGGGUUACUAUCUUGCCCAGGCUGGUCUUGAAUCCCUGGCCUCAAGUGAUCCCCUAACUAGAGGUGCUGCUAUAGUACCCAGCUAUGAUGUUUUUCUAAGUGGCAGUGUGUUUGUAAAUAUAUAUAUAAUAUAUAAUUCUUUAAAAUAUGUCAAAAAUUAAAAAUAAAAACAUGACAUUCAUACCUAUUCAAAAUGCAAAGGGUGA